AGUGAACGCUGGCGGUAGGCCUAACACAUGCAAGUCGAACGGAAGCACAGUAAGAGCUUGCCCUUACGGGUGGCGAGUGGCGGACGGGUGAGGAAUACAUCGGAAUCUACUUUUUCGUGGGGGAUAACGGAGGGAAACUUACGCUAAUACCGCAUACGACCUACGGGUGAAAGCAGAAGAUCUUCGGACCUUGCGCGUUUGAAUGAGACGAUGUCGGAUUAGCUGGUUGGCGGGGUAAAGGCCCACCAAGGCGACGAACCGUAGCUGGUCUGAGGGGAGGGUCCGCCACACUGGAACUGGGACACGGUCCCGACUCCUUCGGGAGGCAGCAGUGGGGAAUAUUGGACAAUGGGCGCAAGCCUGGUCCAGCCAUCCCGCGUGGGUGAAGAAGGCCUUCGGGUUGUAAAGCCCUUGUUUUGGGAAAGAAAAGCAGCAGGUUAAUACCCCGCUGUUCUGACGGUACCCAAAGAAUAAGCACCGGCUAACUUCGUG
rnacentral:rRNA from 1 species